AGUGAACGCUGGCGGUAGGCCUAACACAUGCAAGUCGAACGGCAGCACAGUAAGAGCUUGCCCUUACGAGUGGCGAGUGGCGGACGGGUGAGGAAUACAUCGGAAUCUACUUUUUCGUGGGGGAUAACGUAGGGAAACUUACGCUAAUACCGCAUACGACCUACGGGUGAAAGCAGGGGAUCUUCGGACCUUGCGCGAUUGAAUGAGCCGAUGUCGGAUUAGCUAGUUGGCGGGGUAAAGGCCCACCAAGGCGACGAUCCGUAGCUGGUCUGAGAGGAUGAUCAGCCACACUGGAACUGAGACACGGUCCAGACUCCUACGGGAGGCAGCAGUGGGGAAUAUUGGACAAUGGGCGCAAGCCUGAUCCAGCCAUACCGCGUGGGUGAAGAAGGCCUUCGGGUUGUAAAGCCCUUUUGUUGGGAAAGAAAAGCAGCAGGUUAAUACCCCGCUGUUCUGACGGUACCCAAAGAAUAAGCACCGGCUAACUUCGUG
rnacentral:rRNA from 1 species